CAGACGGCUGAGUAACGCGUGGGUGACGUACCUAUCGGUGGGGAAUAACUGCCCGAAAGGGUGGCUAAUACCGCAUACGUCCACUGCUUCGUGGCAGUGGGGAAAACCGCAAGGUGCCGAUGGAGCGGCCCGCGUUCGAUUAGCUGGUUGGUGGGGUAACGGCCUACCAAGGCGACGAUCGGUUGCUGGUCUGAGAGGACGAUCAGCCACACUGGGAUUGAGAACGGCCCAG
rnacentral:rRNA from 1 species